rnacentral:ncRNA from 1 species
GAUAGGUAAAGCCAAACUCAUCGUGAGGUGAGGACGGAAAGUGACAGGCCUUUUUCAAAGCGACACGAAAAAGUCGGCUGCAUUGCAAUA